rnacentral:rRNA from 1 species
CCAUAACUCUGAGGUGCGAAGUGGUUCUGACCUUUUGGUACAGAGAAGUCAUUGAUGCCCGGCUUCCAGGAAAAGCUGCUAGCCAUAACUUAUAGAGAACCGUACCGCAAACCGACACAGGUGGACAGGUAGAGAAUACUAAGGCGCUUGAGAGAACUCGGGUGAAGGAACUAGGCAAAAUGGUACCGUAACUUCGGGAGAAGGUACGCCCUUUCUGGUGAUGGGAUUUACUUUCAGAGCUGGAGAGGGCCGCAGAGACCAGGUGGCUGCGACUGUUUAUUAAAAACACAGCACUCUGCAAAUUCGUAAGAAGACGUAUAGGGUGUGACGCCUGCCCGGUGCCGGA